rnacentral:lncRNA from 1 species
GGAUGAAGAUGAUGGAGGUUGGGUGACAGGGGAAUUGGAAUUUGGAGUUGGGGCAUAGGGGUAGGGUGAUUGAGAUGUUGGGGAAGGAGUGUUUGGAGGUGACGGAAUGUAGGGAGGUUGGGAAAUGGGAGAAGGAGUGGUGGAUGGUGGUGUGGAAAUGUAAGAAGGUGGCUGGGAUAUUGGGGAAGGAGUGGUGGAUGGUGGUGUGGAAAUGUAAGGUGGCUGGGAUAUUGGGGAAGGAGUGGUGUUUGGAGGUGAUGGGAUGUAAGGAGGCUGAGAUAUUGGGGAAGGAGUGUUUGGAGGUGAUGGGGUGUAAGGAGGCUGGGAAGUAGGAGAAGGAGUAUUGGGUUGUGGAGGCACAUAAGGUGACUGAGAAAAGGGUGAUGGGGUUAUUGGAACAAAGGGUGGUUGAUGAUGAGGGGAAGGGGUGUUUGGAGGUAGAGGAGCAUGGGGUGGAUGGUUAUUAGGGGAAGGAGCAUAAGUGGGAGAAGGUGUGUUGGGAGGUAUGGGAGCAUAGGGUGGUUGAGCUUUGGGAGGAAAGGGAAGAUUAGUAGGAGGUGAAGGUGCUUCUGGAGGAGUAUAAACAGGGGGAGGAGUUUGAUGAGGUGGAUAAG